CAGCCGCCGCGGUAAUACGUAGGGGGCGAGCGUUGUCCGGAAUUAUUGGGCGUAAAGGGCGCGUAGGCGGUCUCUUAAGUCUGAUGUGAAAGCCCCCGGCUUAACCGGGGAGGGUCAUUGGAAACUGGGAGACUUGAGUGCAGGAGAGGGAAGCGGAAUUCCAUGUGUAGCGGUGAAAUGCGUAGAGAUAUGGAGGAACACCAGUGGCGAAGGCGGCUUCCUGGCCUGUAACUGACGCUGAGGCGCGAAAGCGUGGGGAGCAAACAGGAUUAGAUACCCUGGUAGUCCACGCCGUAAACGAUGAGUGCUAGGUGUUAGGGAGUUUCCACUCCUUAGUGCUGCAGUUAACGCAUUAAGCACUCCGCCUGGGGAGUACGGCCGCAAGGCUGAAACUCAAAAGAAUUGACGGGGGCCCGCACAAGCGGUGGAGCAUGUGGUUUAAUUCGAAGCUACGCGAAAAACCUUACCAGGUCUUGACAUCCCGUUGACCGCCCUAGAGAUAGGGUUUUCCCUUCGGGGACAACGGUGACAGGUGGUGCAUGGCC
rnacentral:rRNA from 1 species